UACGUAGGCAGCGAGCGUUGUUCGGAAUUACUGGGCGUAAAGAGUGUGUAGGCGGUGCUCUAAGUUCGGUGUGAAAUCUCCCGGCUUAACUGGGAGGGUGCGCCGGAAACUGGAGUGCUCGAGCGUGGGAGAGGAAAGCGGAAUUCCUGGUGUAGCGGUGAAAUGCGUAGAUAUCAGGAGGAACACCUGCGGUGUAGACGGCUUUCUGGACCAUUGCUGACGCUGAGACACGAAAGCGUGGGUAGCAAACAGG
rnacentral:ncRNA from 2 species